rnacentral:rRNA from 1 species
AACGAACGUUGGCGGCGUGGAUGAGGCAUGCAAGUCGAACGUGAAAGCCGCAAGGCGAGUAAAGUGGCGGACGGGCGAGUAACACGUAAUCAAGCUACCUGCGAGACGGGAAUAACCUCGGGAAACCGAGGCUAAGACCCGAUGGUCUCCGAGAACCGCAUGGUUCAUGGAGUAAAUGGACGGGAUCCUUCGGGACCGCCUGCUCGCAGAGGUGAUUGCGGCCUAUCAGCAGUUGGCGGGGUAAUGGCCCACCAAGGCAACGACGGGUAGCCGGCCUUAGAGGGUGGUCGGCCGCACUGGGACUGAGACACUGCCCAGACUCCUACGGGAGGCUGCAGUCGAGAAUCUUCCGCAAUGGGCGAAAGCCUGACGGAGCGACGCCGCGUGGAGGAUGAAGGCCUGGUGUAA